rnacentral:sRNA from 1 species
ACAAGUUCUACAAUGUGGAUUUGUUUCAGAGAGGUUUUUACCAGAUUCGUGCUUCUAUGAAAAUUCCAUCAAGAAUUCCCCACAGAGUAGAAGCUAGUUUGUUGCAUGCAACAGGUAUGACUUUAGCCUUUCCAGCCUCAGUUCAUGAUUCUCUAAUUUGCAGUAAAACAUUUCAAAUUUUGUACAAAAAUGAAGAGGUUGUUUUAAAUGAUGUUAUGAUCUUCAAAGUAAAAAUGCUAUUGGAUGAAAGAAAGAUUGAAGAAACCCUUGAGGAAAUGAAUUUUCUAUUAUCCUUGGAUCUACACUUCACAGAUGGAGAUUAUUCGGCAGAUGAUCUGAAUGCCUUGCAACUAAUAAGUAGCCGAACAUUGAAGCUGCACUUUAGCCCCCAUAGAGGCCUUCAUCAUCAUGUUAAUGUUAUGUUUGAUUACUUCCACCUUUCUGUUGUGUCUGUUACAGUUCAUGCAUCAUUGGUUGCACUACACCAGCCACUAAUAAGCUUUCCUCGCCCUGUGAAGACAACUUGGUUAAAUAGAAAUGCACCAGCACAAAACAAAGAUUCCGUGAUUCCUACUCUUGAAAGUGUGGUCUUUGGUAUUAACUACACAAAACAGUUAUCACCAGAUGGUUGUAGCUUCAUCAUUGCAGACUCCUUCCUGCAUCAUGCGUAUCGUUUUCAUUAUACACUUUGUGCCACUUUGCUGCUAGCCUUCAAGGGAUUGCACAGCUACUUCAUUACAGUAACAGAAGAGAUUCCUUCUUGUCAGAAACUAGAACUGGCCAAGGCCAACAUGCAGCUCCUAUAUGAGCGUCUUCUCAGAAGAAAACAGCUACGAACACAGAAAGACAACCAUCUAGAGGAAAUGGAUGUAGAAGCUCGACUUACUGAACUAUGUGAAGAAGUUAAGAAAAUAGAGAAUCCUGAUGAACUGGCAGAACUUAUAAAUAUGAAUCUUGCGCAACUUUGCUCACUUUUGAUGGCUUUAUGGGGACAGUUUCUGGAAGUUAUAACGCUACACGAAGAACUAAGAAUAUUAUUAGCACAAGAGCACCAUACUUUGAGGGUACGCAGAUUUUCUGAGGCAUUCUUUUGUUUUGAGCAUCCAAGAGAAGCUGCCAUUGCAUACCAGGAACUUCAUGCUCAGAGUCAUCUACAGAUGUGCACCGCUAUCAAAAAUACUUCCUUCUGCAGUUCUCUUCCACCCUUACCUAUUGAAUGUAGUGAAUUAGAUGGAGAUCUCAAUUCAUUACCUAUAAUCUUUGAAGAUAGGUAUUUAGAUUCAGUUACUGAAGGUAAGUGUAAUCUAACUAAAAUAUACAAGCUAUGUGUAUAGUUUUCAGUAUAUUCUUCCUAAUAUACAUAAAACCAUUCCCUAAUGUGGAAUAGUUUUUUUCCCUCUCUAGUUUUAUUUAUGUUUGAGGAUAUUAGAAAGUUAUAGUUAGAAAAAGAAGUCUUAAUCAUAUGAGUUCUCACACCUUGUUUUAAACGUGAAUCUUUUUUUCUUUGGAUAAAAGACUUAGAUGCACCCUGGAUGGGAAUUCAGAAUCUUCAGAGAUCAGAGUCCAGUAAAAUGGAUAAAUAUGAGACUGAAGAAAGCUCUGUAGCAGGACUUUCUAGCCCAGAGUUGAAAGUCAGACCUGCUGGUGCCUCCAGUAUUUGGUAUACAGAAGGUGAAAAGCAGCUAACAAAAUCUCUAAAAGGAAAGAAUGAAGAAUCAAAUAAAUCCAAAGUUAAGGUUACUAAGCUUAUGAAAACAAUGAAAUCUGAAAACACAAAAAAA